rnacentral:rRNA from 1 species
CUUUUACAAUGAAGAGUUUGAUCCUGGCUCAGGAUGAACGCUAGCUACAGGCUUAACACAUGCAAGUCGAGGGGCAUCAGGAAGAAAGCUUGCUUUCUUUGCUGGCGACCGGCGCACGGGUGAGUAACACGUAUCCAACCUGCCCUUUACUCGGGGAUAGCCUUUCGAAAGAAAGAUUAAUACCCGAUGGGAUAAUGAUUCCGCAUGGUUUCAUUAUUAAA